rfam:Niastella vici strain DJ57 contig32, whole genome shotgun sequence.
AAGAGCAUAUAGUGAUAUAUGCUCGUUUAACAGAAGUCAGCCGAAGCCAUAGUAUCCCGCACCAGCGGGAGAAGGGC